rnacentral:rRNA from 1 species
UACAGAGGUCCCAAGCGUUGGUCGGAUUCACUGGGCGUAAAGGGUGCGUAGGUGGUGAGGUAAGUCGGAUGUGAAAUCUCCGAGCUCAACUCGGAAAUGGCAUUGGAAACUACCUUGCUAGAGGGUUGGAGGGGGGACUGGAAUGCUUGGUGUAGCAGUGAAAUGCGUAGAUAUCAAGCGGAACACCAGUGGCGAAGGCGAGUCCCUGGACAACUCCUGACACUGAGGCACGAAAGCUAGGGGAGCAAACAGG